AACGAACGCUGGCGGCAGGCCUAACACAUGCAAGUCGAACGAAGUCUUCGGACUUAGUGGCGGACGGGUGAGUAACACGUGGGAACGUACCUUUUGGUUCGGAACAACUCAGGGAAACUUGAGCUAAUACCGGAUGAGCCCUUAGGGGGAAAGAUUUAUCGCCGAAAGAGCGGCCCGCGUUAGAUUAGCUAGUUGGUGAGGUAAAGGCUCACCAAGGCUACGAUCUAUAGCUGGUCUGAGAGGAUGAUCAGCCACACUGGGACUGAGACACGGCCCAGACUCCUACGGGAGGCAGCAGUGGGGAAUCUUGCGCAAUGGGCGAAAGCCUGAUGCAGCCAUGCCGCGUGAAUGAUGAAGGUCUUAGGAUUGUAAAAUUCUUUUACCAGGGACGAUAAUGACGGUACCUGGAGAAAAAGCCCCGGCUAACUUCGUGCCAGCCGCCGCGGUAAUAC
rnacentral:rRNA from 1 species